CGUGGAGGGUUGUUAAAGGUAUAGGGACCGCUGCAGCCGAGGCGGGGGCGGGGCGGAGUCUCGGGAACUGGAGAGGAGUGGUCUGCAUUAAGUGGCUGAGCUACUGAAAAAAAGAGCCUAGGGCAGAAAGCACCUCCUGGAAGCGGAGGUUGGUAGACUGGGGAAGGAAACAAGGCAUUAGGGCCGGACUCUGAAGCAAGGUGAUGGGACAUGGAGAAAAAGGGGUAGUCUGGUGGAGGGAAAAGACUGUGGCUUGAGAGUAGCAAAGGUAGAAACGGAUUGUGGACCAUAUAGGACAAGUGUUGAGGGCCUUGAGGGUGGGGUGGUACUCUGGGGAUUGGGAAGAUGCUCUGGUGCCAUGGGGAAGACUGCGAGGUGAGAAGGGAGGCAGCUGAAUAGAAAGAAGAGGGAAAAUUGCGAUCAGGCUACCCCUGACCGGAGUGGUAUUCCCCUAUGCCUUGGAAUCCACUCCUGCCUCGUUUCCCUUAGGGGUGGGCUGGGCUCAGCGCAUCCUAUCCCUGGGCAGUGGAUAAAACAAACUAGCCGCUGCGCUAACAGAUGGAAGGGCUGCCCCUCUCCCAGGCUUCUUGCAUAUUGGUUAUUUCCCCCUUUUCACAUUUUUUUUUCCUUCCUAGGUAGUGGGGAGGCAUAGUUCAUGAUCAAUGCCAGCAAUAGCCAGCUGAGGAUACAGAGGACGGGAGCCUGCAAAAUGAUUUCAGGCUGUAGAUGUAGGACUGAGAAGCAGGUGUGGUGGAGAUGACUGUAGCCCUAGUGUCUGUCAGCAUCUGGAAUGGGAACCACAGGAGCAAGCCAUCUAGACAGGCACCUAGACCUGUGUCAGCUAUGUGGGGGUUGACUGGCCCUGGGGAAAGGCAGUUGGCUACUGCAGGUGGCUGGCGACAAGGCUGGAGUGCAAGGGAAAGAAAGGCCAGCACAGAAGUCUCCGCACACAGAGCUGCGGUCCUGGCUGGUCUGAGGUCAUGCCCGGAGCUACCCCACAAUGAAGGAACACAACAGACCAGAUAUCCCUGUCCCAUCUCAUUUCUACAGAUCAGGACUACUUGGCCCAAGCCCCGAAGAGACCCCAGGGCAGGAAGUCAUUCCCUACCCACCCAAAUGAUGGUGACUCCAACUUCCCAUCAGAUCUGGCGAUGAUCUGCCUCAGUUUCCAAAGCAAGCCAAAGGGUGAGCAGAGGAGAGGGAAGCGGGGCAGAGGGAC